rnacentral:rRNA from 1 species
GCCUGAACCAGCCACGUCGCGUGAAGGAAGACGGCCUACGGGUUGUAAACUUCGUUUUGUAAGGGAAUAAAGUGCAGUACGCGUACUGUUUUGCAUGUACCUUACGAAUAAGGAUCGGCUAACUCCGUGCCAGCAGCCGCGGUAAUACGGAGGAUCCGAGCGUUAUCCGGAUUUAUUCGGGGUUUAAAAGGGUGCGCAGGCGGGAGAUUAAGUCGGCGGUGAAAUUUUGCAGCUCAACUGUAAAAGUGCCUUCGAAACUGGUUUUCUUGAGUGUAGAUGAAGUAGGCGGAAUUUGUGGUGUAGCGGUGAAAUGCAUAGAUAUCACGAGGAACUCCGAUUGCGCAGGCAGCUUACUAAGCUACAACUGACGCUCAGGCACGAAGGCGUGGGGAUCAAACAGGAUUAGAUACCCUGGUAGUCCACGCAGUAAACGAUGAUUACUCGCUGUUUGCGAUAUACAGUAAGCGGCUUAGCGAAAGCGUUAAGUAAUCCACCUGGGGAGUACGUUCGCAAGAAUGAAACUCAAAGGAAUUGACGGGGGCCCGCACAAGCGGAGGAACAUGUGGUUUAAUUCGAUGAUACGCGAGGAACCUUACCCGGGCUUGAAAUGCAUCUGACAGGGGCGGAGACGCCCUCUCCCUUCGGGGCAGAUGUGUAGGUGCUGCAUGGUUGUCGUCAGCUCGUGCCGUGAGGUGUCGGCUUAAGUGCCAUAACGAGCGCAACCCUCAUCAUUAGUUACC